rnacentral:rRNA from 1 species
GUGUCAGCCGCCGCGGUAAAACGUAGGACGCAAGCGUUAUCCGGAGUUACUGGGCGUAAAGGGCGGGCAGGCGGGGUCUCAAGUGGGUUGUGAAAGCGCCCGGCUUAACCGGGCGAGGCCAAUCCAAACUGAGGCGCUGGAGGGCAGCAGAGGUGCGUGGAAUUCCGGGUGGAGUGGUGAAAUGCGUAGAGAUCCGGAGGAACACCAGAGGCGAAGGCGGCGCACUGGGCUGUACCUGACGCUCAACCGCGACAGCCAGGGGAGCAAACGGGAUUAGAAACCCUAGUAGUCC